rfam:Rattus norvegicus chromosome 1, whole genome shotgun sequence.
GGGGAUUUAGCUCAGAGGUAGAGCACUUGCCUAGCAAGCGCAAGGCCCUGGGUUCAAUCCCCAGCUCCG